UGUUACGACAUAAAUGACGGCCCUUUUCAUUGCAUGGCUCUCUUGAGAAGUGCGCAUUGUAGUGCAAAAUCGCGAGGAAGAAAAUCAACAAUCUUGUGUCAAAAUCGCCACUUCAGCUGUUUGGAUGUAACUGAAAUGACGUCAUCGUUCGCCAAAGCUAUAUAUAUAUGAUUAUAUGGAUGAGCGAAACUGACGUUUCAUUGCUUUCUUGUGGAGCGGCGCAUUGUUGUGCAAAAUCGCCAAGAAGAAAGUUAAAAAUUUGAAGGCAUUUAACUUAGACGUUGUUGAGGAUGGAUGAAGAUGCACGCGACGAACCGGCUGAUUGCCAUGGCAACAUGGAUGACGUCAUCAGCAUAAACUUCACAUUCAAGAUCUGCUCAAAUAAAUUUUCUUGCUUCGAAAGCUACUGACAUUUUACUCCAAGGGUCCUCAAAAGACCCCCAAGUCUGAAUAUAUAUAGCGUUAACAAUAGAAAACAAACAAGUGUUCAAAGCCAAAGAAUUCAGCAAUAUCCCAAUGUAAUGAAUGAUCAAUUGCAAGUUCAGCAGAGCCAAAGAGUUCUGCGAUUUCCCAAACAAAGUAACCAAUGAAGUCAGUAACGCGUAAACUACUUCGUAUCUGCAAGUGAAGAUGCUGAUACGAAAAUGCAAAGGAAUAUCUUUGUUUAGCGUUGAUUACAUGUUCAUAUAUAAUGUUAUAUUAUAUAAACUUCUAAUAGAUAUUCUCCCGUUAGAAAUAUCUCUUUGUACAAGUUUUUGAUUAUACAUGUUACCAAAUGAAAUUGUGCAUGCAAACUCCACAUGACGUCAUAGUUCAUUACUUAAUUAAAAUUGUUUGUUGUAAAUGUGUUGUAAAAUAUUCCUGUCAACCAAUUUGCGCGUUCUGGAAAUUAGUUCGUCGCUAUUUCCUAAUAUGACCUAAUAUGGUGUACUUGUAAAUUAUAUAAUUAAGCUUGUGUUACAUGUGAUUAAAUCAGCUCUGCCUUA